rnacentral:rRNA from 1 species
AGCGAACGCUGGCGGCAGGCUUAACACAUGCAAGUCGAGCGGGCAUAGCAAUAUGUCCGCGGCAGACGGGUGAGUAACGCGUGGGAACGUACCUUUUGGUUCGGAACAACACAGGGAAACUUGUGCUAAUACCGGAUAAGCCCUUACGGGGAAAGAUUUAUCGCCGAAAGAUCGGCCCGCGUCUGAUUAGCUAGUUGGUGAGGUAAUGGCUCACCAAGGCGACGAUCAGUAGCUGGUCUGAGAGGAUGAUCAGCCACAUUGGGACUGAGACACGGCCCAAACUCCUACGGGAGGCAGCAGUGGGGAAUAUUGGACAAUGGGCGCAAGCCUGAUCCAGCCAUGCCGCGUGAGUGAUGAAGGCCCUAGGGUUGUAAAGCUCUUUUGUGCGGGAAGAUAAUGACGGUACCGCAAGAAUAAGCCCCGGCUAACUUCGUG